rnacentral:rRNA from 1 species
GCGUGCCUAUUACAUGCAAGUCGAGCGAACAGAUAAGGAGCUUGCUCCUUUGACGUUAGCGGCGGACGGGUGAGUAACACGUGGAUAACCUACCUAUAAGACUGGGAUAACUUCGGGAAACCGGAGCUAAUACCGGAUAACAUAUUGAACCGCAUGGUUCAAUAGUGAAAGGCGGCUUUGCUGUCACUUAUAGAUGGAUCCGCGCCGUAUUAGCUAGUUGGUAAGGUAACGGCUUACCAAGGCAACGAUACGUAGCCGACCUGAGAGGGUGAUCGGCCACACUGGAACUGAGACACGGUCCAGACUCCUACGGGAGGCAGCAGUAGGGAAUCUUCCGCAAUGGGCGAAAGCCUGACGGAGCAACGCCGCGUGAGUGAUGAAGGUCUUCGGAUCGUAAAACUCUGUUAUCAGGGAAGAACAAAUGUGUAAGUAACUGUGCACAUCUUGACGGUACCUGAUCAGAAAGCCACGGCUAACUACGUGCCAGCAGCCGCGGUAAUAC